UACGGGGGGAGCAAGCGUUGUUCGGAUUUACUGGGCGUAAAGGGCGCGUAGGCGGCCUCCGCAAGUCGACUGUGAAAUCUCUGGGCUUAACCCAGAACGGUCAGCCGAUACUGCGGGGCUAGAGUGCAGAAGGGGCAACUGGAAUUCUCGGUGUAGCGGUGAAAUGCGUAGAUAUCGAGAGGAACACCUGCGGCGAAGGCGGGUUGCUGGGCUGACACUGACGCUGAGGCG
rnacentral:rRNA from 1 species